GGGCCAGUAGCUUAGUGGUUUAAAGCCCCGAGCUUAUAUCUCGGUGAUCGGUGGUUCAAAUCCACCCUGGCCCA
rnacentral:tRNA from 1 species